AUUCAAUUGUGUUAAUUACACACACAAAUCGGCACAUAACGCCGGGGUGCUCUUAUGUGAAGGUUUUAGCCUUUACAGCUGAUGAGUCGGUCGUAUGGGAUUUGUGGACGAAAUAAC
rfam:Proteus penneri ATCC 35198 genomic scaffold Scfld3, whole genome shotgun sequence.